GAUGAACGCUAGCUACAGGCUUAACACAUGCAAGUCGAGGGGAAACGGCAUUAAGUGCUUGCACUUUUUGGACGUCGACCGGCGCACGGGUGAGUAACGCGUAUCCAACCUUCCCAUGACUAAGGGAUAACCUGCCGAAAGGCAGACUAAUACCUUAUGGUCUUCACUGACGGCAUCAGAUGUGAAGUAAAGAUUUAUCGGUUAUGGAUGGGGAUGCGUCUGAUUAGCUUGUUGGCGGGGUAACGGCCCACCAAGGCAACGAUCAGUAGGGGUUCUGAGAGGAAGGUCCCCCACAUUGGAACUGAGACACGGGCCAAACUCCUACGGGAGGCAGCAGUGAGGAAUAUUGGGCAAUGGGCGAGAGCCUGAACCAGCCAAGUAGCGUGCAGGAUGACGGCCCUAUGGGUUGUAAACUGCUUUUGUAUGGGGAUAAAGUCAAUCACGUGUGAUUGUUUGCAGGUACCAUACGAAUAAGAACCGGCUAAUUCCGUG
rnacentral:rRNA from 1 species